UUUUCAUUGGAGAGUUUGAUCCUGGCUCAGGACGAACGCUGGCGGCGUGCUUAACACAUGCAAGUCGAACGGAAAGGCCCUGCUUUUGUGGGGUGCUCGAGUGGCGAACGGGUGAGUAACACGUGAGUAACCUGCCCUUGACUUUGGGAUAACUUCAGGAAACUGGGGCUAAUACCGGAUAGGAGCUCCUGCUGCAUGGUGGGGGUUGGAAAGUUUCGGCGGUUGGGGAUGGACUCGCGGCUUAUCAGCUUGUUGGUGGGGUAGUGGCUUACCAAGGCUUUGACGGGUAGCCGGCCUGAGAGGGUGACCGGCCACAUUGGGACUGAGAUACGGCCCAGACUCCUACGGGAGGCAGCAGUGGGGAAUAUUGCACAAUGGGCGGAAGCCUGAUGCAGCAACGCCGCGUGCGGGAUGACGGCCUUCGGGUUGUAAACCGCUUUCGCCUGUGACGAAGCGUGAGUGACGGUAAUGGGUAAAGAAGCACCGGCUAACUACGUGCCAGCAGCCGCGGUGAUACGUAGGGUGCGAGCGUUGUCCGGAUUUAUUGGGCGUAAAGGGCUCGUAGGUGGUUGAUCGCGUCGGAAGUGUAAUCUUGGGGCUUAACCCUGAGCGUGCUUUCGAUACGGGUUGACUUGAGGAAGGUAGGGGAGAAUGGAAUUCCUGGUGUAGCGGUGGAAUGCGCAGAUAUCAGGAGGAACACCGAUGGCGAAGGCAGGUCACUGGGCCACUACUGACGCUGAGGAGCGAAAGCAUGGGGAGCGAACAGGAUUAGAUACCCUGGUAGUCCACGCUGUAAACGGUGGGUACUAGGUGUGGGGUCCAUUCCACGGGUUCCGCGCCGUAGCUAACGCUUUAAGUACCCCGCCUGGGGAGUACGGCCGCAAGGCUAAAA
rnacentral:rRNA from 1 species